GAGGGGCAUCAGUUUGGUUUGCUUGCAAACCAAAGCUGGCGACCGGCGCACGGGUGAGUAACACGUAUCCAACCUACCUCAUACUCGGGGAUAGCCUUUCGAAAGAAAGAUUAAUAUCCGAUAGCAUAUAUUUCCCGCAUGGGUUUUAUAUUAAAGAAAUUCGGUAUGAGAUGGGGAUGCGUUCCAUUAGUUUGUUGGGGGGGUAACGGCCCACCAAGACUACGAUGGAUAGGGGUUCUGAGAGGAAGGUCCCCCACAUUGGAACUGAGACACGGUCCAAACUCCUACGGGAGGCAGCAGUGAGGAAUAUUGGUCAAUGGACGCGAGUCUGAACCAGCCAAGUAGCGUGAAGGAUGACUGCCCUAUGGGUUGUAAACUUCUUUUAUAUGGGAAUAAAGUGGUCCACGUGUGGACUUUUGUAUGUACCAUAUGAAUAAGGAUCGGCUAACUCCGUGCCAGCAGCCGCGGUAAUACGGAGGAUCCGAGCGUUAUCCGGAUUUAUUGGGUUUAAAGGGAGCGUAGGCGGAUUGUUAAGUCAGUUGUGAAAGUUUGCGGCUCAACCGUAAAAUUGCAGUUGAUACUGGCAGUCUUGAGUGCAGUAGAGGUGGGCGGAAUUCGUGGUGUAGCGGUGAAAUGCUUAGACAUCACGAAGAACUCCGAUUGCGAAGGCAGCUCACUGGAGUGUAACUGACGCU
rnacentral:rRNA from 1 species